AGUGAACGCUGGCGGUAGGCCUAACACAUGCAAGUCGAACGGCAGCACAGUAAGAGCUUGCUCUUACGGGUGGCGAGUGGCGGACGGGUGAGGAAUACAUCGGAAUCUACUUUUUCGUGGGGGAUAACGUAGGGAAACGUACGCGAAUACCGCAUACGACCUACGGGUGAAAGCAGGGGAUCUUCGGACCUUGCGCGAUUGAAUGAGCCGAUGUCGGAUUAGCUAGUUGGCGGGGUAAAGGCCCACCAAGGCGACGAUCCGUAGCUGGUCUGAGAGGAUGAUCAGCCACACUGGAACUGAGACACGGUCCAGACUCCUACGGGAGGCAGCAGUGGGGAAUAUUGGACAAUGGGCGCAAGCCUGAUCCAGCCAUACCGCGUGGGUGAAGAAGGCCUUCGGGUUGUAAAGCCCUUUUGUUGGGAAAGAAAAGCAGCAGGUUAAUACCCCGCUGUUCUGACGGUACCCAAAGAAUAAGCACCGGCUAACUUCGUG
rnacentral:rRNA from 1 species